CAAAAAAAUAGAAUCAUGGACUUGGAGGAAUUGCUGGUCCCUCUGUGUGGCCUGGUGAAAAGAACACAAGUGAGCACUGGCAGAGGACACACCUGUGUUUGAAGCCAGCCUCUGCUCCUUUCUAGCUCUGUGUCCUAAAACGAGUUACUUAACGUCUCUGAGCAUGUCCUACGUUAGUGAUAAAAUAUAUAAAUGUCCCUCUCUCAGGGUUGUUGUAAGGAGUAAAUAAAUUAAUGUACAUAAAAAGCACACAAAAGUAUCUGUUACACUGCAACUGCUCUAGAGGUGAUUGCCAUAAUGAAGAAGAAUAUUCGAAACUGGAGGUGAAUCUCAUGAUUCUGCACUUUUUAUCUGGAUGUUGCUGGCUUUUCACCAUGGCUUUUCUGACUUUGUUCCACAGUGUGUGUAAAGCACUUAAUCUGUUCCAAGUUCUUUGUAAGACUUUAGUCUGAGGACUGAAGCCCACAGCUCAUUGCCCUUUAAAGGAAGAGCUAUAAAUAGUACACUGGGUCAUUAAAAAGAGGAAGGAAUGCACCUGGACAGCCAAGUACAUGUAAAUUUGGCCAGAGGAGACUUCAGGGCCCAGAGCAUGCCCGUCAGCAAAGUCUCCCCUGGCUUCUGCAGAAGAACUCUGGUCAUCCAGGUGAGGGACCACAGGCCAGCCAGCUGUUCCUUCCAGACGUCUCCAGAAACCUCUAUGAGUCCCUUGGAAGGUAACAAACUCAGACCAAGAGGCUGCUUCUGAAGAAACCCAACAGUAGACUCUGGUGUGAAGAACAAAGACACACAGCUUGAGCCUGGGGAUGGACACCUCCCAGCAGCCCUGGCUGCCACUCACUGCUGUGCUGCAGCCUGAGAUGAGAAUACUGAUGUUCAGAGCAACCGACUGAACCCCUGGAAGUCACUCAUACUGAAAAUGGCAAAGCAGUAUCUGCCCCUGCUCUGUCCAAUGCUAACAGGACUGCUGAGGCCUCCCCUCCACCUCGCCUCAAGUUGACAUUGGGCCUGUGGAAAUAGACCUCUAAGCCAGCCUUUCUUGCUAGUUUGGUUUUAGCCUUUCUUGGACUCAGCUUUGCCAUCUGUGAAAUAUGUGAGUCAUCUAGAUAGUGUCUGAAACCUACCAGCUCCAAGUCUAUGGUCCACGGAUGGGCUGUGAGGACAAUCAAGACUGAGGCAGGUUUUCACUCAAGUCCUGGAAUAUCUGGUCAUCCUUCCAGGGUUCUUCAUGGCAGGGAAACAAAAUCAACAACUGAAGAACAUGAGGUUCAGGAGAUUUAAGUCUGAGUUCCAGUGUUGGCUUUGGGUGCCUCUAAUCAACCACAAAUCUAUCCCAAGCCCGAGGCAGGCUGGUCUUACUCAACAUUUAUGGGGUCUUGCAGGGCUUAUGAGUGAGCUCAUGUGGGUGAGCUGUGGGUACCACAGGACCAGCACAGAUUGCUCCAGCACAUUGUCCAGCCACGAGACAGAAUUUCCCUCUUACAGAUCCAUUGAAUAGCCCUGGCCUGUGGGUUUGCUGUAAAGAUGCAAAAGCCCUGAAGCAUUAUCUGCCAAACCUCAGCCCUGACCAUGGUUAGGCUGACAUCAGGGGAGGCAGCAGGAGAGGGAGAGAAAAGGGUAUCUCAUUGUGGAACUGGGGCAGUGGUGGGCAGGGGCUGAUGCAGGAGGGGUGCCAUGGCCCAACUGCUCUUCACCCACGGUCCUUACACAGACCUGAUCCUGCUAAUUCUGACUCAGCUUUCAGACUCAGCCUGCGGACACUCAAUUUUUAGUAAUAAGCAGUCUCCUCAUAAUUUACUAUAUAGCAAAAUAAAUUUUUA
rnacentral:lncRNA from 1 species